GAGAGAAAUAGCUGUGAAGAAGCUAGCACAUGGAUCAACUCAGGGUAAGAGAGAGUUCCAGAAUGAGGCAAAGUUGUGGACGAGAAUGCAGCAUAAAAAUCUGGUGAAUUUGUUGGGAUACUGUGUUUAUGAUACCUAGAAGCUGCUUGUUUAUGAGUAUGGGGCAAACGAGAGCCUUGACAAAAUUCUAUUUAACAGAACUUUGCCAAAAAGCUCACAAUGACAUGGGGCCCACCCAAAUAAGAAAAGGCCAAAAAAUAACCCCCUACCUAUACACCUAGCAUUGCCUUAGCAUUUACAUAAAUAAAUACAAAUUUCAACGGUAGAAGAUUUCAUGAGGAUUAGCCUUUCAGUGAUGUGGGAGUUGGGACACUGUCAAAUCUUUUAUUCCAUCAAGCUGUAGAAAUAUUUGAUUUUUAUCACAACAUUCAAAUACUUUAUUAUAAACCUCAGAUUGCAAGGAAUAGAAUGAUACUGACACCGUGUGGUAGUAUAUCAAUUUAGAGUCUGGUAGUCAGCAAGUGCUUGAUUGGAAGCAAAGGCAGGACAUAAUAACUGGCAUAGCAAAGGGCUUGCGUUACCUUCAUGAAGGCGCUAAUACUCAUGUCAUACACCGCAACAUCAAGGCGUGCAACAUCCUACUUGACAAUAAAUUGGUCCCCAAGAUUGCCGAUUUUGGCAUGGCUCGUCUUUUUCUUGAAGAUCAAUCGCGUGUUAACACUCGUGCAGCUGGUACCAAUGGCUACACAGCGCCAGAGUAUCUCAUGUAUGGUGAUCUUUCUGCGAAAGUGGACAUUUUCAGCUUUGGGGUUGUGGUUUUGGAGCUGAUAAGUGGACAGAGGAAUUUAACUUUUAAUCGUGAUCCUAAUUCAUGGAACCUACUUGAAUGGGUAAGAACCUGACCUUUUAGCCAAAAUGUAAUGGUUGACUGUGGAUUGGAUCCUUACCUACUCUGUUAAUUCAUCUGAAAUAGUUUAUUACUAAGUUUGAGCUCUGAGGUCACGAUGGCAAAUAAAAUUUUCUGGUGUCAAU